GUGAACGCUGGCGGCGUGCUUAACACAUGCAAGUCGAACGGUAACAGGAAGUAGCUUGCUACUUUGCUGACGAGUGGCGCACGGGUGAGUAAACUAUAGUUAAUGUGCCUCGAAGACUGGGAUAGCCACUGGAAACGGUGAUUAAUACUAGAUACACCUUCUCGUUAUAAGACGAGUCGGGAAAGUUUUUUCGCUAAGAGAUCAGUCUAUAUCCUAUCAGUUAGUUGGUGAGGUAAUGGCUCACCAAGGCAAUGACGGGUAGCGGUUCUGAGAGGAUGAUUCGCCACACUGGUACUGAGACACGGACCAGACUCCUACGGGAGGCAGCAGUGAGGAAUAUUGCACAAUGGGGGGAACCCUGAUGCAGCAACGCCGCGUGGAGGAUGACGCAUUUCGGUGUGUAAACUCCUUUUAUAUGUCAAGAAAAUGACGGUAGCAUAUGAAUAAGCACCGGCUAACUCCGU
rnacentral:rRNA from 1 species